rnacentral:rRNA from 1 species
UACGAAGGGGGCUAGCGUUGUUCGGAAUUACUGGGCGUAAAGCGCACGUAGGCGGAUAUUUAAGUCAGGGGUGAAAUCCCGCAGCUCAACUGCGGAACUGCCUUUGAUACUGGGUAUCUUGAGUAUGGAAGAGGUAAGUGGAAUUCCGAGUGUAGAGGUGAAAUUCGUAGAUAUUCGGAGGAACACCAGUGGCGAAGGCGGCUUACUGGUCCAUUACUGACGCUGAGAUGCGAAAGCGUGGGGAGCAAACAAG